GUUCCUUCGAGGGCAUCCGCUAAAAUUGAAAUGAUAUAGAGAAGAUUAGCAUUACCAAUGCGUAAAGAUGGCACAUUCGAAUUGAGAAAUGUGACAUUAU